GUGCUUGGUUUACCAGCAUAUAUUCUAAAUUUGGAAUGAUUCAGAGAAAAUUAGUAUGGCUACCAUUAAAUGAUAACAUGCAAGUUUAUGAAGUAUUCCAUUAAAAAUUUUU
ensembl:snRNA U6 U6 spliceosomal RNA